rnacentral:pre_miRNA from 2 species
GCAAAGAAGAGGAAGAAUGAGAGGUCGUGAGAGCAGUGGGAAUGGGAACAUGGAGGAAAGGCAAAUUUGUUUGUAUCUCAGCCACCAAUAUAGAGGGUUUGAUCUGGUUUGGUCUUUCCCGGUGCCUCCCAUUCCUAUUACUCUCAAGCACUCCUUCCUCAUCCGUUUGCUU